ensembl:processed_transcript A530058N18Rik RIKEN cDNA A530058N18 gene
GCCGCUGUCGCCGAGCGUCGGAGCCCGAGGGGCCGCGGCCGCGCGCCGCGGGGGGAGGAGACGGUCUGGAGUCCCCCCGCUGCGCCGGAGAUGGGGAGACGGAGGACUGCAGCGCCCCUUGGGGCUUCUGAGGCGCCCAGGUAACCUCACCUGGCCGCCAGUCUCCCGCAGGAGGAACAGACACAUUGGUUCUACACCGAACCUAUUAACAGCUCAACUUCAAAUAUUUGGCAGAGGUGGGAUUGCUGUUCACUAAGGUUAUAUGAGCCAGCUUGGUUACACAAAUGUGAAAAUGCACAUUUUCCAGCCUGUGGCAAGGUGGAAACAUCAGGGCAGAAGAACAUAACUGAUAAUAGCUGCUCACACCUAAGUAGCCAGGAAGCAGAGAGAAAUGGAGACCAGCCUACGAGGACACAUUCCUAGUGACCUUCUUCCCAACUUUGGGUUUCCACCAAUUCACAAGAACACCAUUAAUUAUGAAUUCAUCAACAAACCAAUUCAUCAAUUAAGUUAAAGCUCCCAUGAUGCAAUCACUUCCCUACAUCCUCCCGUCUGAACAUCCUCGCCAUUGAGAACCAAGCCUUCAACACAUGAGUCUGGGCACAAUAAGUCACAUUGAAUCCAUUGAAGAUGUAAAUUUUAAUGGUUGAAAAUGACUAGCAUAUUAUGUCUGUGAAAUUCAGUAAAGGGGAAUAUGGAAGAGAACGUGUACUAAAACUAAGGGUUCUAGAACGCAUCUGUGCUCUUCCUUUCAAUCUGGAGAGUGAGACAAGGAAGUCUUAAGUUCAAGGCCAGCCUGGGCUAUGUAGUGUAUGCUACCAUUGGCUAUAUAAUCUGACUCCAGCAUUACAAGAAGUAGAGUAAAUAAAAGAUAAAAAAAUGACUAUAGAAGUAUCAAGAUAUUAUGACUCAUUCAUAUGAUUUCUGCAAUUGAUUUAGUAUGGCAUAUGAUUUAGUAAUCAAAGUGGAUGAAGAUGAUAUAUAUGCAUUAAUAAGAAUAAGUAUGUGAGACUAAACACAGAAUGUCCACCAGACACUGGGCAGUAAUUAGAUUCAACUCUUGUAAAAAUGUUCAACAGGAAGAAAAAAAAUUAUAACUUUGCUUUAUACUUGGACAGUUACUUUCAGUCAUACGGGUAUGGAAUAAAAUGAAAGGAAAAUGCAGAUGGGAUCUGAAGGCCAGCCUUCUAUUAUACUAUUAAAUUGUAGUGCAGGAAAGAAGAAGAGUUUGUUGUAUUUGAUGUUUUCCGAGGUUUUGUUUUUGUUUUUGAAGCAUCUUUUGUUUCACGGAUGCUGUUAAAUGUUGAACAUGACACAAUAAAAAGAAACAGACAAAAGUCACUGUCCUUGUGGAACUAGUAUGAAGAAAAAUCAGGUGUUAAUAAAACAAUCAUUCACAAGA